GACUCAAUCUUUUUAGACCCACAACAAGCAAGGUUCACACAAGAAAAUAAAACCGUGGACUUGAGAAUCUUGAUCCAGUUUUUUAACCGUGGCUAGCGGGUCGAACCUAAACGGGACCAUCCUGGCCGUCAGCAGGCCCAUUUGGCCAUCUCUAGAUGGGCGAGCCGUUGCCGUUCCGUGUACAGUAAAGUACCACGUGAGGCUGUGUAAUAAAGAGGACAGGUGGGGCUGCAGCUGCCCUGCCAGUGCCAGAUCAGCUGGAGAAGAAGAGGACGGCUGAAAGACGAAACUGAAAUUUAUACAAAUUAUUAUUACAACAAAACUGUUUUAAAAUCGUAAGACGUUUUAGUGUUUUUUUCUCUAGGUUUAUUUAUUAUGCGCUAUAUAUUAUUAAUGUCAUAUAAUUUGGUUGGUUGGGACUUGGGACGGCCGGACGGGAAAGUAAUAAAGUACUGCAUACUGAAGAGAUGAGGAGGAGUACAGCAGCGAAUGAAUUCGAUUAUCUGAACUUGUUAUUACUAUGAUUAUUGCGUCGCGGUGACAGAUGAUGCAUGGGGUGGGUACGGUAGCAAAACAGGAACACGACUGAAUUCAAGCAACUACAUACAGCACAAGUCGGCAUCAGGCAUAUGAACAGACACAGAUACAGAGACAUGGAUCGUCGUCGGCAAGGAUGACUAGCUAGGUGUUCUUGGUGAUGGCGUAGAUGGCGUAGAUGAUGCCGGGGAUGUAGCCGAGGAAGGUGAGGAGGAGGCAGAUCCAGAACUCGUGGCCGCACCCGUACUUGAGGAACACCCCCAGCGGAGGCAGGAUGAUGGCGAUCAGGAUGUCCACGCAGUUGGCAGUCCCCUCCGACAUGCUGCCGAUGCUUCUUCUUCCUCCUCUUCUUCUUCUCUGCCUUGGCUUGGCUUGGAUGGAUCGGAUUCCUUCUCUCCUUUCGCUUUGCCUCUUCCCUGGCUUCACUUUCACUUUAUAGGCAGGCAGACCUUGGACGAGAGGGAGGGCGAUGGGAUGGCGACAGCUACAUACCAGUCGAGCGAUCUACUAGCUAGUCCGGUGGCACGCAAACGCAACACGUCUCGUC
rnacentral:lncRNA from 1 species